GCCNCCUUAGGCCGGACCAUUUAAGUUCAGGGGUGAAAUCCCAGAGCUCAACUCUGGAACUGCCUUUGAUACUGGGUGUCUUGAGUGUGAGAGAGGUAUGUGGAACUCCGAGUGUAGAGGUGAAAUUCGUAGAUAUUCGGAAGAACACCAGUGGCGAAGGCGACAUACUGGCUCAUUACCGACGCUGAGGCGCGAAAGCGUGGGGAGCAAACAGGAUUAGAUACCCUCNUAGUCCACGCCGUAAACGAUGAUUGCUAGUUGUCGGGCUGCAUGCAGNGGGGNAANGCAGCUAACGCAUUAAGCAAUCCGCCUGGGGAGUACGGUCGCAAGAUUAAAACUCAA
rnacentral:rRNA from 1 species